rnacentral:rRNA from 1 species
GACGAACGCUGGCGGCGUGCUUAACACAUGCAAGUCGAACGGAAAGGCCCUGCUUGCAGGGUACUCGAGUGGCGAACGGGUGAGUAACACGUGGGUGAUCUGCCCUCCACUUCGGGAUAAGCCUGGGAAACUGGGUCUAAUACCGGCUAGGAGCCAUUUUUAGUGUGAUGGUUGGAAAGUUUUUUCGGUGUAGGAUGAGCUCGCGGCCUAUCUGCUUGUUGGUGGGGUAAUGGCCUACCAAGGCGGCGACGGGUAGCCGGCCUGAGAGGGUGGACGGCGACAUUGGGACUGAGAUACGGCCCAGACUGCUACGGGAGGCAGCAGUGGGGAAUAUUGCAGAAUGGGCGCAAGCCUGAUGCAGCGACGCCGCGUGGGGGAUGACGGCCUUCGGGUUGUAAACUCAUUUCGCUAGGGACGAAGCUUUUUGUGACGGUACCUAGAGAAGAAGCACCGGCUAACUACGUG